rnacentral:lncRNA from 1 species
GAUGGUUCAGCUGAAAGAGCAUGGUACUGAUAUGGAGAGAUACUAGGAAAAGGCAAUGUUAAUACAGUGCGUUAUCUGCAAAGGCAAUGUACAAAGGGAAGAAGCAGAAGAGAUUGCAUAUGUGUAUGAUGAGAGUCAAGAUGCUCAUCAUAAUGGCUUCCCAGUUGUCCUCCAGGUGCUUGAGUUUUGUCCAAGCUUUGGAGGAUAUUUGGAAGUAAAAUUAUCACCAUAGUCCUGUUUACCCACGGUAUCUCAGUGAAGCUGCCUUUGAAUGUUUUUCUACAAUGACCUUUUAGAAUACCUGCUUUCAGGAUAGGCUACGAGCCGGUAAGUUUAGCUUAGAUGUGUUUUCUUACAUUUAGCUAUAUUAAAAACUAUGAUCUUUGCUUGACGCUUCUUUACCAAGGAAAACUAAAUGGCUUUCAGUUGCUGAUCCUUGUUUUUAUUACUCCAUAAUCUGUAAAUUUGUUCGGCAAUAUUCUUAUACUUUUCCUUCGUGCAUUGACAAAACUGCUGAAUAAUAUAGGGUCAAGCUCUUGAAGGUGGGAUAAAAAACCUGUUCUCUUUUUUUCGUAUUUAAUUGAUACAAACUGGAAACACUUAUUUAGUGUUUAGCCUCAUCUGCAAUUGCAUUUUGAGGGCUAUCAGUCUCUAACCCACUUGAUGUGUCAUGUUGAUUUUGAGUUUCUUAAUCAAAUGUCAUUUUUCAUCAAGUCAACCGCCUUACAAAAAUGUUAUAUCUGUGCUAUUAAUUAACAAUAAACUUAUAAUUAAAAAAUCA